rnacentral:rRNA from 1 species
UACGAAGGGGGGCUAGCGUUGCUCGGAAUCACUGGGCGUAAAGGGUGCGUAGGCGGGUCUUUAAGUCAGGGGUGAAAUCCCUGGAGCUCAACUCCAGAACUGCCUUUGAUACUGAAGAUCUUGAGUUCGGGAGAGGUGAGUGGAACUGCGAGUGUAGAGGUGAAAUUCGUAGAUAUUCGCAAGAACACCAGUGGCGAAGGCGGCUCACUGGCCCGAUACUGACGCUGAGGCACGAAAGCGUGGGGAGCAAGCAGGAGUA